rnacentral:rRNA from 1 species
GACGAACGCUGGCGGCGUGCUUAACACAUGCAAGUCGAACGGAAAGGCCUGCUUUCCCUUGUGGAUUGCGGGUGCUCGAGUGGCGAACGGGUGAGUAACACGUGAGUGAUCUGCCCCCAACUUGGGUAUAAGCCUGGGAAACUGGGUCUAAUUCCCGAUAGGACUGCAGGGUGGUGCCUGUGGUGGAAAACGAUUUUCUAGUGGUUGGGGAUGAGCUCGCGGCCUAUCAGCUUGUUGGUGGGGUAAUGGCCUACCAAGGCGGCGACGGGUAGCCGGCCUGAGAGGGUGGACGGCCACAUUGAGACUGGGAUACGGCCCAGACUCCUACGGGAGGCAGCAGUGGGGAAUAUUGCACAAUGGGCGGAAGCCUGAUGCAGCGACGCCGCGUGGGGGAUGACGGCCUUCGGGUUGUAAACUCCUUUCGACCGCGAGGAAGCCACCUGGUUGGAAGGGUGGUGACGGUAGUGGUAGAAGAAGCACCGGCUAACUACGUG